GGUGGGAUAUCUCAGUUGGUAGGACAUGAGGCUCUUAAUCUCAGGGUUGCGGGUUCGAUCCCUGCACUGAGCA